CGGGAUUUCAGCAGUGGGGAAUAUUUGCACAAUGGGCGCAAGCCUGAUGCAGCCAUGCCGCGUGUAUGAAGAAGGCCUUCGGGUUGUAAAGUACUUUUCAGUGGGGAGGAAGGUGUGAGGUUAAUAACCUCAGCAAUGACGUACCCGCUG
rnacentral:rRNA from 1 species